rnacentral:SRP_RNA from 1 species
UAUGACUCCCCACGUGGCGUCAUCUUCGGUCACCUCCCCAGGGUAGGAAUACAGCAAGGAAACCGGGGCUCUGAUGGGUGCGUGGGGAGUCCUUUGC